rnacentral:lncRNA from 1 species
CUUACAUCUAGUUUGGUACUUGUGUGGAGAAGGGUCCUGGUCGAGUAACCUGCCCACAGCCUUCCCUGGAAACUGAGUGUGAUCUUCUUACUCCCACACUGUCUGGAGGGCUCCACUCCUGAGGGAUGCUCAGCCUGGAUUGGAGAAUGGAAUUUUGUUAGCACUGCAGUAUCAGUGAAGAGUUCCCACAGCCAUUAGACCAGCACAGUUGAAAGUCUUCCACACAGGUCUUGAUAUUUGUAGCACUUUGGCCAGGCAAAGGAAGGAGCAGGCACCAGUACCAACACACGAAUUAGAUACCACACAGCUCAACUUCCUUCCUUCUGCCCCAGUGAGAUAUGGAACUUCCUGGAGAAACGGAAAUUCUCUUUCUGUACUGGAAUCCAUC